UUAAAUUUAGGUGAUGAGGCUCGCCAGUGUUCGCAAGAACCGAACUGCCAGAAUAAGUGGGUAAUGCUCGCUUUAAUGGGCUGAUAGCUUCUACUUCAUU
rnacentral:ncRNA from 2 species